CUACGGGGCGCAGCAGUGGGGAAUAUUGGGCAAUGGAGGAAACUCUGACCCAGCGACGCCGCGUGCGGGAUGAAGGCCUUCGGGUUGUAAACCGCUUUCAGCAGGGAAGAAGCGAAAGUGACGGUACCUGCAGAAGAAGCACCGGCUAACUAUGUGCCAGCAGGCCGCGGUAAUACAUAGGGUGCAAGCGUUGUCCGGAAUUAUUGGGCGUAAAGAGCUCGUAGGUGGUUCGUCACGUCGGAUGUGAAACUCUGGGGCUUAACCCCAGACCUGCAUUCGAUACGGGCGAGCUUGAGUAUGGUAGGGGAGUCUGGAAUUCCUGGUGUAGCGGUGGAAUGCGCAGAUAUCAGGAGGAACACCAAUGGCGAAGGCAGGACUCUGGGCCAUUACUGACACUGAGGAGCGAAAGCGUGGGGAGCGAACAGGAUUAGAUACCCCGGUAGUC
rnacentral:rRNA from 1 species